GGCCGUGUAGCCCAGUGGUAAGGCGCUGGCCUCCUAUUUAUAUAUACAGCCAGAGAUCCAGGGUUCGAUCCCCUGCAUGGUCG